rnacentral:misc_RNA from 1 species
GAUGAAGAACGUAGCGAAAUGCGAUGAGUAGUGUGAAUUGCAGAAUUCAGUGAAUCAUCGAAUCUUUGAACGCACAUUGCGCCCCUUGGUAUCCCGAGGGGCAUGCCUGUUCGAGCGUCAUUUCACCACUCAAGCCUGGCUUGGUGUUGGGCGACGUCCUCUUUGGGGACGCGCCUCGAAACGCUCGGCGGCGUGGCACCGGCUUUAAGCGUAGCAGAAUCUUUCGCUUUGGAAGUCGGGGCCCCGUCUGCCGGAAGACCUGCUCGCAAGGUUGACCUCGGAUCAGGCAGGGAUACCCGCUGAACUUAAGCAUAUCAAUAAGCGGAGGA